UAGUAACGGCGAGUGAAGAGGGAAAAGCUCAAAUUUUGAAUCUGGUGUCUUUGACUCCCGAGUUGUAAUCUAGAGAAGUGUUUUCCGCGUUGGGCCGUGUACAAGUUCCCUGGAACGGGGCGUCAUAGAGGGUGAGAAUCCCGUAUAUGCCACGGACUACCAAUGCUCUGUGAUACACUCUCAACGAGUCGAGUUGUUUGGGAAUGCAGCUCAAAAUGGGUGGUAAAUUCCAUCUAAAGCUAAAUAUUGGCGAGAGACCGAUAGCGAACAAGUACCGUGAGGGAAAGAUGAAAAGCACUUUGGAAAGAGAGUGAAACAGUACGUGAAAUUGUUGAAAGGGAAGCGUUUGAAGUCAGUCACGUCUGUCGGAAUUCAGCCUGGCUUCUGCCUGGUGUACUUUCCGUCCGACGGGUCAGCAUCAAUUUCGACCGAGGGAAAUAGGCUUGAGGAAUGUGGCUGUCUUCGGGCAGUGUUAUAGCCUCGCGUUGUAUGUCUCGGUUGGGAUUGAGGAACGCAGCGCGCCUAUUGGCCGGGGGUUCGCGCCCCUCGGUACGCGCUUAGGA
rnacentral:rRNA from 1 species